GACAGCAGCCAUAUCGCUCAGACAACCCACUGAAGCCAAGCAGGUGUGAGCCUGGUCAGUACAUGGAUGGGAGACCUCCUGGGAAAAACUAAGGUUGCUGCUGGAA
rnacentral:rRNA from 1 species